rnacentral:lncRNA from 1 species
CAAACCCCCAUUCUCAUAUACCAAACCCCCAUUCUCAUAUACCCCAACUCCCAUUCCCAUAUACCCAAGCCGCCAUUCUCAUAUACCAAAACCCCAUUCUCAAAUACCCCCACUUGUAGAAUCAAACACUAUUUAAUUGCUAUUUAAUUCCUAUUUUAUUGGGCUAUUUAAUUCCUAUUUGUCAAAGUAUUUAUUUCCUAUUUUUACUAUUAUUUUUUUUCGAGGUUUU